rnacentral:rRNA from 1 species
AAUAGAUACCCCAGGUAGUCCACGCCGUAAAACGAUGAGUGCUAAGUGUUAGGGGGUUUCCGCCCCUUAAUGCUGCAGCUAACGCAUUAAGCACUCCGCCUGGGGAGUACGGUCGCAAGACUGAAACUCAAAGGAAUUGACGGGGGCCCGCACAAGCGGUGGAGCAUGUGGUUUAAUUCGAAGCAACGCGAAGAACCUUACCAGGUCUUGACAUCCCAUUGACCACUAUGGAGACAUAGUUUUCCCUUCGGGGACAACGGUGACAGGUGGUGCAUGGUUGUCGUCAGCUCGUGUCGUGAGAUGUUGGGUUAAGUCCCGCAACGAGCGCAACCCUUGUUCUUAGUUGCCAUCAUUUAGUUGGGCACUCUAAGGAGACUGCCGGUGACAAACCGGAGGAAGUGGGGAUGACGUCAAAUCAUCAUGCCCCUUAUGACCUGGGCUACACACGUGCUACAAUGGACGGUACAAACGGUUGCCAACCCGCGAGGGGAGCUAAUCCGAUAAACCGUUNUCAGUCCGAUUGUAGCUGCAACUCGCUACAUGAACG